CCCCCCUUUUUUUUUUCCCCC
rnacentral:misc_RNA from 1 species